rnacentral:rRNA from 1 species
GACGAACGCUGGCGGCGUGCUUAACACAUGCAAGUCGAACGGAAAGGCCCUGCUUUUGUGGGGUGCUCGAGUGGCGAACGGGUGAGUAACACGUGAGUAACCUGCCCUUGACUUUGGGAUAACUUCAGGAAACUGGGGCUAAUACCGGAUAGGAGCUCCUGCUGCAUGGUGGGGGUUGGAAAGUUUCGGCGGUUGGGGAUGGACUCGCGGCUUAUCAGCUUGUUGGUGGGGUAGUGGCUUACCAAGGCUUUGACGGGUAGCCGGCCUGAGAGGGUGACCGGCCACAUUGGGCCUGAGGUACGGCCCAGACUCCUACGGGCGGCAGCAGUGGGGAAUAUUGCACAGUGGGCGGAAGCCUGAUGCGGCAACGCCGCGUGCGGGAUGACGGCCUUCGGGUUGUAAACCGCUUUCGCCUGUGACGAAGCGUGAGUGACGGUAAUGGGUAAAGAAGCACCGGCUAACUACGUG